UAUUUUAAGUGUCUGGACAUGGAAUCAUUAUCACUAUGAUUAUACUGUCGUUGCGACGGUCGCGUGCACUACGACCAAUGGAAUUAUGGAAAUCAGGCAUAUGACUCAAUUCAGAUAUUUAACCACUUGAUGUUGUACAUAUACUUUAUUUAUAAUCUAGCUGUUUCCAAGUUAACACGUUAUCGUUUAUACAUAAUAUUAUUAUCUUUUAUAUAACACCUCAUUAAAUUCUGGUCAUUUAAUUUGCUGAUUAUGAUCACGUGAUCUGGAUUAAAACUCCCAUUUUGCUACCGUGCAAUAGUACGAAAAC